CACGUAGGCACCAAGCGUUGUCCGGAUUUAUUGGGCGUAAAGAGCUCGUAGGCGGUUCAGUAAGUCGGGGGUGAAAACUUUGGGCUUAACCCAAAGCGUUCAUCCGAUACUGCUGUGACUUGAGUUCGGUAGGGGAGCAGGGAAUUCCUAGUGUAGCGGUGAAAUGCGCAGAUAUUAGGAGGAACACCGGUGGCGAAGGCGCUGCUCUGGGCCGAAACUGACGCUGAGGAGCGAAAGCGUGGGUAGCAAACAGG
rnacentral:rRNA from 1 species